GUCGAGGGGUAACAGUCCCGCUUCGGCGGGAGCUGACGACCGGCGCACGGGUGAGUAACGCGUAUGCAACUUUCCUGUAACUGGAGGAUAGCCCCUGGAAACGGGGAUUAAUACUGCGUAAUACCUAAAUACCGCAUGGUAUUAAGGUCAAAUCUACGGAGGUUACAGAUGGGCAUGCGUGCCAUUAGCUAGAUGGUAAGGUAACGGCUUACCAUGGCAAUGAUGGCUAGGGGUUCUGCAAGGAAGGCCCCCCACACUGGUACUGAGACACGGACCAGACUCCUACGGGAGGCAGCAGUGAGGAAUAUUGGUCAAUGGAGGCAACUCUGAACCAGCCAAGCCGCGUGAAGGAAGACUGUCCUAUGGAUUGUAAACUUCUUUUGUGGCAGAAUAAACUACCGUACUUGUACGGUAUUGCAUGUAUGCCAUGAAUAAGCAUCGGCUAACUCCGUGCCAGCAGCCGAGGUAAUACGGAGGAUGCAGGCGUUAUCCGGAUUUAUUAGGUUUAAAGGGUGUACAGGCUGCCUGGUAAGUCAGGGGUGAAAGUCGGUUGCUCAACGAUCGAAUUGCCUUUGAAAGUGUCAGGCUCGAGUAUGGAUAGCGGUAGGCGGAAUGUGUAGUGUAGCGGUGAAAUGCAUAGAUAUUACACAGAACACCGAUUGCGAAGGCAGCUUACCAUACCAGCACUGACGCUGAAGCACGAAAGCGUGGGGCAGCGUACAGGAUUAGAUACCCUGGUAGUCCACGCCGUAUACUUUGCUCACUCGCUGUUGGCGAUAUACAGUCACCGGCCUAGGGUAACCGAUAAGUGAGCCACCUGGGGGAGUACGGCCGCAAGGUUGAAACUCAAAGGAAUUGACGGGGGCCCGCACAAGCGGUGGUACAUGUGGUUUAAUUCGAUGAUACGCGAGGAACCUUACCUGGGCUUAAAUGUGAAGUGCAUUGAUUGGAUACAAUCAUUUCCUUCGGGACCCUUUACAAGGUGCUGCAUGGUUGUCGUCAGCUCGUGCCGUGUAGGUGUUCGGUUAAGUCCGGCAAACGAGCGCAACCCGUAUUGU
rnacentral:rRNA from 1 species